rnacentral:rRNA from 1 species
UGGCGGCGUGCCUAACACAUGCAAGUCGAGCGGAGUUGGAAGAAGCUUCAGAGAUGGAGCGGGAGCCGACUUAGCGGCGAACGGGUGAGUAACACGUGGGCAAUCUGCCCUCUGGAGCGGGAUAACAGACCGAAAGGCCUGCUAAUACCGCAUGAGGCCUAGAAGUCGCAUGGCAAUUAGGUCAAAGGGGAAACCCGCCGGAGGAGGAGCCCGCGUCCCAUUAGCUAGUUGGCGGUGUAACUGACCACCAAGGCGAUGAUGGGUAGCCGGCCUGAGAGGGUGAACGGCCACAUUGGGACUGAGACACGGCCCAGACUCCUACGGGGGGCAGCAGUGAGGGAUUUUCGGCAAUGGGCGAAAGCCUGACCGAGCGACGCCGCGUGAGCGAAGAAGGCCUUCGGGUCGUAAAGCUCUGUCUAGGGGGACGAGCAAGGACGGUACCCCUGGAGGAAGCCACGGCUAACUACGUGCCAGCAGCCGCGGUAAUACGUAGGUGGCGAGCGUUGUCCGGAAUUACUGGGCGUAAAGGGCGCGCAGGCGGCUCGUUAAGUCCA